rnacentral:rRNA from 1 species
UACGUAGGGGGCAAGCGUUGUCCGGAAUUAUUGGGCGUAAAGCGCGCGCAGGCGGUUUUGUAAGUCUGGUGUUUAAUCUCGGGGCUCAACCCCGAUUCGCAUUGGAAACUGCAAGGCUUGAGUGCAGAAGAGGAAAGUGGAAUUCCACGUGUAGCGGUGAAAUGCGUAGAUAUCUGGAGGAACACCGGUGGCGAAGGCGGCGUUCUGGACUGCAACUGACACUGAGGAACGAAAGCCAGGGGAGCAAACGGG